CAGCCGCCGCGGUAAUACCGGCGGCCCGAGUGGCGGCCACUAUUAUUGGGCUUAAAGCGUCCGUAGCCGGGUUGGUUAGUCUCCCGGGAAAUCUGGCCGCUUAACGGUCAGAAUUCCGGGAGAUACUGCCAGCCUAGGGACCGGGAGAGGCCGAGGGUAUUCCCGGAGUAGGGGUGAAAUCCUAUAAUCCCGGGAGGACCGCCUGUGGCGAAGGCGCUCGGCUGGAACGGGUCCGACGGUGAGGGACGAAGGCCAGGGGAGCAAACCGGAUUAGAUACCCGGGUAGUCCUGGCUGUAAACGAUGCGGACUUUGUGUCGGACAAGCUAUGAGCUUGUCCGGUGCCGGAGGGAAACCGUUAAGUCCGCCGCCUGGGGAGUACGGCCGCAAGGCUGAAACUUAAAGGAAUUGGCGGG
rnacentral:rRNA from 1 species